rnacentral:misc_RNA from 1 species
UUAAGCGCGACGGUCGAAUAAAAUAAGGGAGAUAAAUAAACGGAAUCACAGUCACCCCUGUAAAAUUACCGCAAGCUGACAUCGUAUUAAUUUGUUUUGGAUAAAACCAUUAUAAAUAAACGCAAAUGUAUAAAGUUACGAUUCACGGUUAAUGCAAAUAUCUUAACGCGGCUUUAUUUUAGGAUGCCACAAACAAAAAUGAAAUCUUGGGAUCACCUCUAAUUUCUAUAACUUAUUUUGCAGCUAUAAGUAUAUAUUGUACCUGAAUAUUUUUGAAGCCAUCGAUAUUCAUAUGUUGAAAAAAAAGACUGCUGGGAUAAAAAUGUGCGACAGAGUUAAAGCUUGUGGUAUAGUUUUAAUUCUGAUCAUGGCGAUAAACAUAACUGAAAGCCACGCCGUGUCUCAUAUAAAUGGAAACGGCGAUUCAGAUGAAAUUGGUCCAGAGUUUUUGGCGAAGUUAAGUAAUACAACGGUUCCCAUAGGACGUGACAUAUCAUUUACUUGUGUUGUUGACAAUUUGGGUCAUUAUCGGGUUGCAUGGAUAAAAUCGGAUUCAAAGGCCAUACUUGGUAUACACACCCACAUGGUCUCACUAAAUCCAAGAUUAUCUGUAACACAUAACGGUCACAACACCUGGAAACUUCACAUAUCUCGCGUACAGUUAAACGACUCCGGAAGUUAUAUGUGCCAAGUAAAUACAGAUCCUAUGAAGAGCCUUUCUGGAUAUUUAGAUGUUGUUGUACCUCCAGAUAUUUUAAACCAUCCAGAACAUAAUCCAGAGGAAGGUGUCUGUCAAGAAGGUGGAAGUAUUUCACUUUUAUGCAGUGUAACAGGCGUUCCAAGACCAAGGGUACUGUGGCGGCGUGAGGACGGAAAGGAAAUAAUACUACGCACGGAUAGCAGAGAUAAAACAGGUGUAAAGUCGGUUGAAGGAGAAAGGCUGGUCUUAACAAAUGUGCAUCGUUCCGAUAUGGGAGGCUAUAAUUGCAUUGCAUCUAAUGGAAUACCUCCUUCAGUUAGCAAGCGGUUUAACGUAUACGUUAAUUUUUCACCAACAAUUAAAGCCAUAAGUCAAUUGGUUGGAGCACCCGUUGAAAGAGAAGUAACUUUGGAAUGCAUUGUAGAAGUGUACCCCAAGCCUCUUAAUGGUUGGUACCGCAGGGAAGGUAAUAUUAAAAUGCACAGCGGAAACAAAUAUAAUAUUUCUGAAGAAAUGAUUAACCUAUACACAUGGCACCUUAACCUUACCAUAAGACAUCUGACCAAAUCAGAUUUUGGAACUUAUAGUUGUUCGAGCGUUAAUGCCCUUGGCAAAAGUGAAUCACUUAUUCGAUUGCAAGAGCUACGGCUGCCGCCCAAGUUGACCACAACACCAACACCUCACAUGCAAACAACAGGAAAAUCGCGUCGGAAGCACCCAGCAAGUCACAAAAAGGGCAUAAACGAAGUGUUACGAUUUCAAGAAACCCAUAUCACUAAUCAAAUUCAACAGGAGAACGAAGAACAUAACGAAGGAAUUGAUAUGUUAAAGUUUACUAACAGUGAAAAUUCUAAUGGCGUUUUAGAUAGCGACAACAUCAACAGCAUUAUAAACGGAGAAGAAGGAAACAUUCAUCAUCUUAAAAAAAAUGGACAAGAAAAGCCUAACAAGCCAUCUGGGACCAUACCAUCACCAAGUACCCCCUGGAUAUUCACAAAUACGGGAUCUCCAUGGGCAGCGCGAACUUCGAAUGCGACUGUUGCAUUGGUUAUAUUUUUUUGGUUGAUUUCUGGUGUGUGUCACUCCUUAGCCUGGAAUGCAAGAAGAGUAAUUCACUAAGUUGUUGUUUUGAAAAGAAGAUUAUUUGUUGAAGCGCUGACCAUCAUCCACGAUCCAGUUUGUUAAUUUGGACGCCCACCACAAAGUCGUUACCUUGGUCUCCGAUUUUUACUUCAUACGUCAGCAUAUAAGUGCCCCUGCUCUAGAUAAGGACUUGAGCCGAUAGAGGCGUCUGAUGUUCAGGUAUCAAGUUACCAGCGUUAGCUCGUCGUAUUCGGGUCACAGGAUCUUGCGCAAUGUCACACUCCGCAUCACUGUAAUGGAAUUAACGACUUUAAUAACUCAGCAAAUACAUUUUAUAUUAUGAACAAUGAUGCAUUAUUAUAAAUGCAUUAAUCAGG